rnacentral:rRNA from 1 species
AUACGUAGGGGGCAAGCGUUAUCCGGAAUUACUGGGCGUAAAGAGCUCGUAGGCGGCUCAGCAAGUCGGUCGUGAAAGCCCGAGGCUCAACCUCGGAACUGCGGUCGAUACUGCUGUGGCUAGAGUCCGGUAGAGGAGAGUGGAAUUCCCGGUGUAGCGGUGGAAUGCGCAGAUAUCGGGAGGAACACCAGUGGCGAAGGCGGCUCUCUGGGCCGGUACUGACGCUGAGGAGCGAAAGCGUGGGGAGCAAACAGGAUUAGAAACCCCAGUAGUCC